rnacentral:lncRNA from 1 species
CUGUGCUUGUACAGCAGCAAGAUCCAAUUUUGCAACACCUAACUCGAAACGUUUCAUGGAAAUGUUUUCUUGCAGUUCGGCUACCUUCGUAUAAAGAUUACCUUCGGCGCUUCUAAUAUAAAAAAAAAAAUACAUUUUCUGGACUCGAACGUAAACCCAAACUAAUAUAAGAGAAUUCAUUUUCUCGUUGCUAAAAGGGGGAAAAGUUAAAGUAAUCGUGAGAAAAGAGGAAAGUUCUUGUUGGGACUCGAAAAAGCAGAGAGCGGUUUCGUUCUAAACUCGUAAAAAUUAAUUACGACCAAAGAAGAAAAA